rnacentral:rRNA from 1 species
AGUGAACGCUGGCGGUAGGCCUAACACAUGCAAGUCGAACGGCAGCACAGUAAGAGUUUGCUCUUACGGGUGGCGAGUGGCGGACGGGUGAGGAAUACAUCGGAAUCUACUUUUUCGUGGGGGAUAACGUAGGGAAACUUACGCUAAUACCGCAUACGACCUACGGGUGAAAGCAGGGGAUCUUCGGACCUUGCGCGAUUGAAUGAGCCGAUGUCGGAUUAGCUAGUUGGCGGGGUAAAGGCCCACCAAGGCGACGAUGCGUAGCUGGUCUGAGAGGAUGAUCGGCCACACUGGAACUGAGACACGGUCCAGACUCCUACGGGAGGCAGCAGUAGGGAAUAUUGGGCAAUGGGCGCAAGCCUGAUCCAGCCAUACCGCGUGGGUGAAGAAGGCCUUCGGGUUGUAAAGCCCUUUUGUUGGGAAAGAAAAGCAGCAGGUUAAUACCCCGCUGUUCUGACGGUACCCAAAGAAUAAGCACCGGCUAACUUCGUG